AUUGAACGCUGGCGGCAUGCUUUACACAUGCAAGUCGAACGGCAGCGCGGGCUUCGGCCUGGCGGCGAGUGGCGAACGGGUGAGUAAUGCAUCGGCACGUGCCCAGUAGUGGGGGAUAGCCCGGCGAAAGCCGGAUUAAUACCGCAUACGACCUGAGGGUGAAAGCGGGGGACCGAAAGGCCUCGCGCUAUUGGAGCGGCCGAUGUCGGAUUAGCUAGUUGGUGGGGUAAAGGCUUACCAAGGCGACGAUCCGUAGCUGGUCUGAGAGGACGACCAGCCACACUGGGACUGAGACACGGCCCAGACUCCUACGGGAGGCAGCAGUGGGGAAUUUUGGACAAUGGGGGCAACCCUGAUCCAGCCAUGCCGCGUGCGGGAAGAAGGCCUUCGGGUUGUAAACCGCUUUUGUUCGGGAAGAAAUCCUUUGGGCUAAUACCCCGGGGGGAUGACGGUACCGGAAGAAUAAGCACCGGCUAACUACGUG
rnacentral:rRNA from 1 species